rnacentral:rRNA from 1 species
AAUCAACGCUGGCGGCGUGCCUAACACAUGCAAGUCGAACGCGAAAGCCCCGCAAGGGGUAAGUAGAGUGGCAAACGGGUGAAUAACACGUGGGUGACCUGCCUUCGAGUGGGGGAUAACGUCCCGAAAGGGACGCUAAUACCGCAUGACAUCCUGCUUUUGAAAAAGCGGAGAUCAAAGCUGGGGAUCGCAAGACCUAGCGCUUGAAGAGGGGCCCGCGCCUGAUUAGCUAGUUGGUGAGGUAACGGCUCACCAAGGCGACGAUCAGUAUCCGGCCUGAGAGGGCGGACGGACACACUGGGACUGAGACACGGCCCAGACUCCUACGGGAGGCAGCAGUGGGGAAUUGUUCGCAAUGGGCGCAAGCCUGACGACGCAACGCCGCGUGGAGGACGAAGAUCUUCGGGUCGUAAACUCCUGUCGAGCGGGACGAACGCUUCGCGGAUGAAUAAUCCGCGGAAUUGACGGUACCGCUAAAGGAAGCCCCGGCUAACUCCGUG